rnacentral:rRNA from 1 species
AUUGAACGCUGGCGGCAGGCUUAACACAUGCAAGUCGAACGAUGAUUAUCUAGCUUGCUAGAUAUGAUUAGUGGCGGACGGGUGAGUAACAUUUAGGAAUCUGCCUAGUAGUGGGGGAUAGCUCGGGGAAACUCGAAUUAAUACCGCAUACGACCUACGGGUGAAAGGGGGCGCAAGCUCUUGCUAUUAGAUGAGCCUAAAUCAGAUUAGCUAGUUGGUGGGGUAAAGGCCCACCAAGGCGACGAUCUGUAACUGGUCUGAGAGGAUGAUCAGUCACACCGGAACUGAGACACGGUCCGGACUCCUACGGGAGGCAGCAGUGGGGAAUAUUGGACAAUGGGGGCAACCCCGAUCCAGCCAUGCCGCGUGUGUGAAGAAGGCCUUUUGGUUGUAAAGCACUUUAAGCAGGGAGGAGAGGCUAAUGGUUAAUACCCAUUAGAUUAGACGUUACCUGCAGAAUAAGCACCGGCUAACUCUGUGCCAGCAGCCGCGGUAAUACAGAGGGUGCGAGCGUUAAUCGGAAUUACUGGGCGUAAAGCGAGUGUAGGUGGCUCAUUAAGUCACAUGUGAAAUCCCCGGGCUUAACCUGGGAACUGCAUGUGAUACUGGUGGUGCUAGAAUAUGUGAGAGGGAAGUAGAAUUCCAGGUGUAGCGGUGAAAUGCGUAGAGAUCUGGAGGAAUACCGAUGGCGAAGGCAGCUUCCUGGCAUAAUAUUGACACUGAGAUUCGAAAGCGUGGGUAGCAAACAGGAUUAGAUACCCUGGUAGUCCACGCCGUAAACGAUGUCUACUAGCCGUUGGGGUCCUUGAGACUUUAGUGGCGCAGUUAACGCGAUAAGUAGACCGCCUGGGGAGUACGGCCGCAAGGUUAAAACUCAAAUGAAUUGACGGGGGCCCGCACAAGCGGUGGAGCAUGUGGUUUAAUUCGAUGCAACGCGAAGAACCUUACCUGGUCUUGACAUAGUGAGAAUCCUGUAGAGAUGCGGGAGUGCCUUCGGGAAUUCACAUACAGGUGCUGCAUGGCUGUCGUCAGCUCGUGUCGUGAGAUGUUGGGUUAAGUCCCGCAACGAGCGCAACCCUUUUCCUUAUUUGCCAGCGGGUUAAGCCGGGAACUUUAAGGAUACUGCCAGUGACAAACUGGAGGAAGGCGGGGACGACGUCAAGUCAUCAUGGCCCUUACGACCAGGGCUACACACGUGCUACAAUGGUAGGUACAGAGGGUUGCUACACAGCGAUGUGAUGCUAAUCUCAAAAAGCCUAUCGUAGUCCGGAUUGGAGUCUGCAACUCGACUCCAUGAAGUCGGAAUCGCUAGUAAUCGCAGAUCAGAAUGCUGCGGUGAAUACGUUCCCGGGCCU